rnacentral:rRNA from 1 species
AGUGAACGCUGGCGGUGGGCCUAACACAUGCAAGUCGAGCGAAAACAUAGGAAGAUCUCGCCUUUACGGGUGGCGGGGGGCGGGCGGGUGAGGAAUAGAUAGCCAACUACUUAGUCGUGGGUAACAUCGUGAAGAAACAUACACUAAUGCCUCAUACAUCCUACGGCUGGAAGCAGUAGUGCUUGGGGCCUUGCGUGUCUCUUAGAGCCGAUGUCGGAUUAGCUAGUUGGCUAGGUAAAGGCACACCAAGGCAACGAUCCGUAGCGGGGCUGAGAGGAUGAUCAGCCACACUGGAACUGAGACACGGUCCAGACUCCUACGGGAGGCAGCAGUAGGGAAUCUUGGACAAUGGGCGCAAGCCUGAUCCAGCCAUACCGCGUGAGUGAAGAAGGUCUUCGGGUUGUAAAGCUCUUUUGUUAGGAAAGAACAAAAGCAUGUGAAUCCAUGCAUGUUCUGACGGUACCUAAAGAAUAAGCACCGGCUAACUUCGUG